GACAAAGUGCCAGAGUGGUUAAUGGGUUAGACUUGAAUUACAUGUUCAUGCUAUCUAAUGGCUUCGGCCGCGCAGGUUCGAUCCCUGUCUUUGUCG